UGCCAGCCGCCGCGGUAAUACGAAGGUCCCGAGUGUUACCCGGAAUAAUUGGGUGUAAAGGGUUCGUAGGCGGAUAAUUAAGUCAGACGUCAAAGGCUGUGGCUAAACCACGGUACGCGUAUGAAACUGGUUAACUUGAAUAUGUUCGAGGUGCAUGGAAUGCAUCAUGUAGCGGUGAAAUGCUUAGAUAUGAUGUAGAACACCAAUUGCGAAGGCAGUGCACUAGGGCAUUAUUGACGCUGAGGUACGAAAGCGUGGGUAGCGAACAGGAUUAGAUA
rnacentral:rRNA from 1 species